CGCUCUUCCGAAGUGUCUGGGUGGGUGCCUCUGUCUCUCCUCUCUCUUCCCAAGUGUGCUGCCCACAGCAUUUUACCAGCUGGCUCUUUCCAGCCAGAGUGACCUAGGAAGGCGGCUGGGCGUGGUACUGGGGUCCAGCUUGUCACACCCAGCCCUGCAACUGUGGGGACAGUGCAUCGUGGCUCACACCCCCACCCCCGUGUUCCAGAGCUGCCUGGAUUGACAAGUGCCGCCCCAACCUGCUCAUCACAGAGUCCACGUACGCCACGACCAUCCGUGACUCCAAGCGCUGCCGGGAGCGAGACUUCCUGAAGAAAGUCCACGAGACCGUGGAGCGUGGUGGGAAGGUAGCUGCAGCAGGGGUGGGGACAUGGGCCCUCGGCCAUGCUGGGCUGGUCUUUCUGGCAGGCUUGGCUGCCCUUGGCAUGGGUCAGGGUCUCAGGGUGGGGGGUACUGCAUUUUCAGGCAGGGAGGGAGGAAGAUUUGCUCAGCAUUGAGGAGGAAAACUCAGAGACCCUUUCCUAGGGAGCCCCUUUUCCCUCCUACCUCAGGUGCGGACGAAGCCCUGGCCAGGCUCCUUCUGUCUCUCAUGCAGCUCCCUUCUGUCUCUCAUGCGGCUCCCUUCUGUCUCUCAUGCGGCUCCCUUCUGUCUCUCAUGCGGCUCCCUCCUGUCUCUCAUGCGGCUCCCUCGUGUCUCUCAUGCGGCUCCCUUCUGUCUCUGGAGAGCGGCUGGGACGGGACUGGGAGCAGAUGAGAGGCUAAGGUCCCUAUGAGGCCGCAGCUCUUGGGCACCUGGCCGUGCCCUCACUGGACGCUGCCUGCUGUGUCGAGGGGCCACGUGCCCAGGGCUCCUGCCUUGUGUCCCCCUCAGGUGCUGAUACCUGUGUUCGCGCUGGGCCGCGCCCAGGAGCUCUGCAUCCUCCUGGAGACCUUCUGGUAGGUGCCGCCAGGACGGCUCUUUAAGGAGCCCCUGGCCCGGCCUGAACACAGUCCAGUUGGUGGGCAGCCCUGUCCAGCGUAGCGGUGGCAUCUUGGCCCUGCUUGCUGCUGUCCUGGGGGGCCGCUCGUGUGCUGUGUGACCCCAGGAGGCCUGUGACAUCCUGUCAGCGCCACUGUGUGCGGCUCUUGUAGGGGUUCCUGGUUCUCCGCUGAGCCCGGCUGCUGCAGGGCUUAAUGGGACAUAGGCUGAGGGCACUGGCCUCCCGUGGUCGCGACCGGACUCAGCCUGGCCCGUGCAUGGGCUGUGCAGACACGGGUGUGGGGGGUGACCCGGCCGAGUCCUGCCCUGCAGCAUUCUCCCCUGUGGCCACUGUGCUGACUGGGCCGGUGGUCCCCAGGGAGCGCAUGAACCUGAAGGUGCCCAUCUACUUCUCCACGGGGCUGACCGAGAAGGCCAACCACUACUACAAGCUGUUCAUCCCCUGGACCAACCAGAAGAUCCGCAAGACUUUCGUGCAGAGGAACAUGUUUGAGUUCAAGCACAUCAAGGCCUUCGACCGGGCUUUUGCUGACAACCCAGGACCGAUGGUUGUGUUUGCCACGCCAGGAAUGCUGCACGCUGGGCAGUCCCUGCAGAUCUUCCGGAAAUGGGCCGGAAACGAAAAGAACAUGGUGAGGGCAUGGGGAGGUGUGGGAAUCUGGAAGCUGGAGGCCGACGGGUUGCCCUUCCACCCAUGCUGUCUCUGAGCUCUCACUGGCUUGGCCUCGUGCUGGCCAAGGGACGUGGCUGCUGCUGCUGCUGGGGAACGGGGGCGAUGUCUCCCUGGAGCUGCUCAGUCUCUCUGUGACACAGCUUGUCCACCUCGGGCAGAACAGCCCCAGCCCAGCCCUGGACAGUCUUGUGCCAAAACCUGAGCCCUUUGGAGUCUGCAGCUAGGCUUGGUCGGGUGCCGCUGGCAGGUGGAAACAGCUUCCAGGGGUUCAGGCGGGGGCAUCCCGGGCAAGGCCUUGAGGUGCCAAGGCUGGA
rnacentral:sRNA from 1 species